GUUACAAAAUAGCUCUGAAAAACAUUAGUGAAAUUAGUACAAAAUAAUAAUCAAAAGCUCAUUAUAAAUAAUAAUAAAAAAUUAUUGUGCAAGUAAAUCUAUCGAGUAAUCCAUUACUUUCGUGAGCCACUGUAUGUAUUAAGAGUACACAAGCACAAACGAUACGCACGGCUACAUAUACGUCUACACCCACCUACGUAUUUGCUACACCUAUUGGCCAUAAAAAGUACUCACUUGAAUGAAUUGUAUCGUGAUCGCAGAUUUUCCGACGCCACCCGCGCCAACGACGACGAGCUUGUAUGUCUGCGCAUAGCUUUGUUUGUCACCGAGCUUCGACAUUUUUCAUAUGAUCGACGAAUUGUGGAAAUUUCAGAGGAAUACUGAACACAUAUUGAAAACGGCACGGUGAAACGUAGAAAAAUACAAAAUCGAGGCGCAUUCACAUGCAAGCACGUACUACUGCGUUCUUCUUAGUACGAGAAGAGCCCAGUAUACCGGAUCCUGGACAUUUCCUUACUAGUAGUGUGUAGUCGAGAACUUAAACGUGACUAAA